ACGGUGCCAAGGGUUGAGAUACUCAUAGGUCUGUGUGCUGAUUCUUUACCCUGUAUGCAUGUCCUGGUUUUGUUAAAAACAAGACAAGUUUGUUUUAGUGAAUUUUUCUUUUAACUAAGUUCUUAGUAACUGCACUUUUCUGAAGUUGGAUACAUGUUUCGGUAUGCAUAGCAAUGGAAUGCAAGGUCACUGAUGAGGAUGCACGUCCCGUGAGAGGGGCAAGGACGAGCGAACUGAACAGGUGACUAAAACUGACCAACUGAGUAUUCCAUCCCAUUCACGUGAUACUUCUUAUAAAAUGGGAGAUCAUGAGGGUCUCGGCCCUUUUUUUCCCAUCUUCGACUAUGGCCGGCAUCUGGGAAGGACCCUGCGAGUCGUCCCUGCGAACUGAGGCCUAGUGACACACUGAAUCCAGUUCCGGUUUGCUGCAGAGUCCAGCCCAGGACUUCCGGGUGUCUGCUCUGCUGCCGCCAGAGCAACACCAGCUCUGCCGCGUACAACGCUGCGCUACCCCGGGAAAUUCAAGGAAUCCUGAAGGAACCACACGUGGACAGAUGGAUUAGCCAAUAUCAACGAGAUGAUAGACCAACAAAUUGGAUUUGUGGUGUUAUUGUUUACCUUAACCAUCCGUUUUCCCUUGACUGGCUGCCAAGGGAACCCAGGAUAGCUAUAGUCCCACACUCACAUUGCCUAUACCAGAAGUAUGAGGCCACAUUUCAUCAAUGGCAGUGGUAAAUUAAACUUAGCCACUGUGGUCUUCCACCAUGGUAGCACCUACCAUGACUCCACUAAAAGAAAAGAUGCUGACCCCACAAUUAUCUGAAAUUGGACCGUAUGCAGUAAAAAAUACAGGUCAACAGCAGAUGCUGGUCCCUCAAACAAGUAGAAUUAUCAAUGCAAAUUGACAUCUUCAUGAUCAAACCUACUUACUCACCAUUCCUGAAUACAUCAUACACAGAAUGGUCAGCAUGGCUGCAUGCAUGAACUCUCACCUCUCUCAAACAACUAAAGAGAGAUGUGACUGGUAUCCUAGGAACAGGACUGAGAGUCUUAAACACUAUAGAUGCUGAGGUACUUGCAAAAAAACUAGUCACAGAGACUAGUGAUCUAAAUAAAUUGAAUCAUCCACUACGGUCUUCUCUUUUAGCAUUGGGGACCAACCAAUGGCUUUUAACUGAUACAUUACCUCAGUGGGAAGAAUUUGACAAAAAAGAUUACCAGUUGAUUGUAAAUGCACUUGAGGUGGCCCAAAGUAAUAUUUCUUUGGCUCUUAGUUGUAUCCAAGCUCAAUUGUGAAUACAAUCAAUGGCAGCAGCCAUCAUAAGGGAUGAUGAAGAAGGCACCUUACCCACCAAAAUUCAGAAGGUAAUUUGGGAUAACGCAAUUGAAUUUGAGAAGAAAUUCCAGUCCUGGUGGUAUUGGGUCAAUUUCACCUAUGACCCCUUCAACAGUGCCAUCACAGCAUUCGUCCUAACCAUAUAUAAUACUUUGGUAUAUAAUGAUAUACCAAAUCAAUGCAUUAGGAUUGAAUCACAAUGGAGCGGUACUCCAUCCAACAGAGCAUAGAGUAUGGGCUCGACAGAAGGGAAAUAAAUGGCAAACCACUGAUGUUGAUGCAUGCAUUGUGUGAGAACAACAAGGAUUCAUCUGUGAAAGUAAUACCAUUAAAGCUCAGGACAUUUGUCUUGACACAGGACAAAAUGUUUGCCAUUUUGAGAUACAUCCUCAUGAAAAUCCUGAAACCAUACUUGUAUAUGUUGGGAAAGGAUGUGCAUGUAUGAGAGAUGUCCGUGAUUUUAUACUUGUGGACAAUGUUACAGUAGCUACCAGUAAUCAUUCUAAUCUUUGUGUUUGUAAUUUCACUAAGAUCAUAGGAUGCAAUUUUAGUUACUCAGCUCCAGUUACAGCUCCUCAGCUGCUACAAUCUAACUACACGAUGAUCAAUGAUCUUCUGCCUACCCCCAUCAGAAUGGAUCUCACCCUGGUGAAGGGACUCUUACAUCGACUGCAGCGACAAGUCAAAGAAAAUGGACAAAAACUUUGGUUACCAUCCAUCAUGAUGCAGAAGAAAUACACCGCAUGCUGGAAUGAGUGACAAAAGACAGAGAACACAAGUGGUGGGACGUUUUUUGGAUGGUCACUGACUGCUACUGGAGUCUUUAACAAAAUUCUGCAUCAUAUUGUUCUCCUAUUAGCACUCACGGUUUUGUAUCUUGUUUUAAUAGUAGCGUUAUAUGUUAGAAUUUGGAUUGUGAUGAAACAUCUAACCUAUCUGAUUUCUCCACAAGAGGAAAAAAGUUAAAAGUAUCUGUAUAUUUCACA